rnacentral:rRNA from 1 species
UAAUACGGAGGGUGCAAGCGUUAUCCGGAUUCACUGGGUUUAAAGGGAGCGUAGGUGGGUUGGUAAGUCAGUGGUGAAAUCUCCGAGCUUAACUUGGAAACUGCCAUUGAUACUAUCAAUCUUGAAUACUGUGGAGGUAAGCGGAAUAUAUCAUGUAGCGGUGAAAUGCUUAGAUAUGAUAUAGAACACCAAUAGCGAAGGCAGCUUACUACGCAGUUAUUGACACUGAGGCUCGAAAGCGUGGGGAUCAAACAGGAUUAGAUACCCUGGUAGUCCACGCCCUAAACUAUGGAUACUCGACAUCAGCGAUACACAGUUGGUGUCUGAGCGAAAGCAUUAAGUAUCCCACCUGGGAAGUACGUCCGCAAGGAUG